CGACAGCCACUUCCCCACCUACACGUCAGCAGCGUAGCGUAGCGUACGCUGCGUUCUGACGUCACCACAAGAACGCCAAAGUUUUUAGUUCUUUUAACCACGUGAUGAAAUGAUUCUUCCUUUAAGACUUCUGCAGAAUUGUGACCUUGGCAGUCGGUUUGGGACACUGAAGCUGGGGAAAUGUUUCCGGUCGAUGGCCAACAAUGCUGCUGACGAUCAGAGGUUGCCCGCAGGGUUCCGGUGGAACGGUCGAUGCAGGCCUACCAGCGCUGGGAUGUCAUGAAAGGAGCCGGUGGCAGACAGGUGCCAUAGAGACACUCUAAGUGUUUUACAGCAUCGUGCUGCCACACAACUGGAGAAUUGACUCCGCCGGGAGAAACGUACAGAGCAAUCAGUCUCACCUCGUCACUUUUUGGAAAUACAUUUUUGGUGAUAUAGUUUUUAGAAACUUGUGUCCAGAGCCGUGUUUUCCCAGUGUGACAAUCUCAAGCAAAGACCGAUGGCAGCCCAGGAAGUGGUGACUUUGUCCAAUCGAAUUCUUUUUUUCCAUUUUAGCCACCCAUCUGGCUUCAUUUCACUGUUGCUUACAAGUGAUUAUAUCAAGUAGGUUUUAUUUUCUACAGGUUGAGGCACGAUUCAGUUAUGUGCUUCAUGGUGGUUGUCAGUUUGCACCUGUUGAACUGUGGAGUCAGAUCAGCCUCAGUAAUAAUGAAGCACACAGGAUUCACUAAUGGAUUUUUAUAGAAAUGACUCUCUCCACAGAAAUAUUCUUCAGUGCACACAGAAACACUUAUCGUCGUGUAUACAUGUAAAACAAAUCCUCAUAUAAAAAGACUCCGUUCACAAAUGUGUUUCUGAUGCACACAAAUAUUUCUUGUUUUAAAUAAAUGUAAUAGAAAUACACACAUAUGUAUUCAAAAGAAUUUGCAAUUUUCAUCAAAAACAUAUUUGGAUGUUGUUACAUUUAUAUAGAAACUGGCUGUCAUUUGUGAAAGUCACUGCAUUUUUUUAAAUAAACUUUAUUGAAACAAGUGUACAACAAGUUCGAACAUGUUGUGUAUACAGCUUGAGUCUAUAAUCACAAGUACGCUGGGGGACUAAAGGUAAUAAAAAAUAUAACAGAAAUAAUAAAAAGUUAAAUAAACAUCUUGUAAAGCUUACAAUAGUUAUAUACGUUGUUAGCAGCUUUUUUGUUUGUACAUUCAGAAAUAGAAGAAGUGUAUUGUUUGAUAUGGACAUUGAGCUCUGAAAAGUUCGCCUUUUUUCUUAAAGAUUUAGAUUUAUGAAUACAGAAUUUGGUCAGAUUCACAAAUGCAUUUUUUUCAACAGGGAAUUUUCUGUAGCCAAUCAGAUGGCUCCUUCUGCUUCAGCCAAUCACGUAGAUGGCAGAGACCUGGCCAGAGGCUUCACUGACUAAACCAAAGAGAGCCAUAACAGCAGAUAACCACUGCAGGCAGGCCAGGGCUGGGAAGUGCCGUCGGCAGCACUGCAGUGAGCGCACAGCGUGUACGAACCAGUGCUGGGAGUGACGCUGAGGCGGAGACGGCUCGCGAUCAUUUCUAGUGACAAAAAGAUGAAAGAGACACCUGUAAAACUGUUGGCAGGACACCUCAAACUGCAAACAAGGUCAACUAUGACUCUUUCUAUUAUGAGUUUUUGAUCCACAGAGGUUUUAUAUUUGUAAAACCUUCCUCGAGCCCAGAAAAGAGAUUGUAAGAACCGUGACGUCAUCACAAUGUAAAGUCUAUGGGCCGAACGGGAACUCGGCGGGCGGGGCCAGCGGGAGAAACACUACUGCGCAUAUUCAGUGGGCCGCAUACCCCGGAAGUAAACCCGGACGCUAGAAAACGUUUUUGGCGUGUGCGCCAGGCGAGCAGUUCUCAUCGGAAUGAAUGGGCGCCAUCUUGGGGUCCGGGAUCCAGUCCUAAUAAUACAUCCAUGGGUACCGCCCAUCAGAGGCAGCGUUGGGGGGGGUCUCUCCCAUCUACGUGAUUGGCUGAAGCGGAAGGAGCCAUCCGAUUGGCUACAGAUAAUUCCCUGCUGAAAAAAUGAAUUGCAUUUGUGAAUCGAGCCAUGUUUACUGCC